rnacentral:rRNA from 1 species
GAUGAACGCUGGCGGCGUGCCUAAUACAUGCAAGUCGAGCGAACAGGCAAGGAGCUUGCUCCUCUGACGUUAGCGGCGGACGGGUGAGUAACACGUGGAUAACCUACCUAUAAGACUGGGAUAACUUCGGGAAACCGGAGCUAAUACCGGAUAAUAUAUUGAACCGCAUGGUUCAAUAGUGAAAGACGGUUUUGCUGUCACUUAUAGAUGGAUCCGCGCCGCAUUAGCUAGUUGGUAAGGUAACGGCUUACCAAGGCAACGAUGCGUAGCCGACCUGAGAGGGUGAUCGGCCACACUGGAACUGAGACACGGUCCAGACUCCUACGGGAGGCAGCAGUAGGGAAUCUUCCGCAAUGGGCGAAAGCCUGACGGAGCAACGCCGCGUGAGUGAUGAAGGUCUUCGGAUCGUAAAACUCUGUUAUUAGGGAAGAACAAAUGUGUAAGUAACUAUGCACGUCUUGACGGUACCUAAUCAGAAAGCCACGGCUAACUACGUG